AUGAGGGUUGAAGAUGAAGAUGAGAAUUCAUCCCAAAAAUCUCGGAGAGAUUCCAAGCAGUGGAAAUUUUGUUACAAAUUGGAGCUUCUCAUCCCUUGGAUCGAAAGUUGGUUACUGAAAUGGAGGGCUGAGAUUGAAUCACGAUUGAGAGGUUUUCGGAAAGAUUAUAACAUUUUGAAACAGGGCAGGGCUGAUUAUUUUACGUCGAAGAUGGUUUAA